CAGUGUAUAAUAUAUUUGCUUACUGUACUAGGGAUGACCAGGUGUUGUGUAUAAGCGUCCGAGGAAUCAAGGGCCAACGGACGACACCCAAGGACCCUGUCGACAUACCCCGAAAUAGCCGGACGUCAUGAGUUGUGAAGUGUCGUGUUUCCAUGACUGCACUGGAAUUAACAAGCAGCUCGUCAUAUCUACGGACAAUCGAGAUAGCCCAAC
rnacentral:lncRNA from 1 species